CGCGUAGGCGGAAGUGACAGUCAGACGUGAAAUUCCUGGGCUCAACCUGGGGACUGCGUUUGAGACGUUACAUCUAGAGUGAGGAAGAGGGUUGUGGAAUUCCCAGUGUAGAGGUGAAAUUCGUAGAUAUUGGGAAGAACACCGGUGGCGAAGGCGGCAACCUGGUCCUUUACUGACGCUGAGGCGCGAAAGCGUGGGGAGCAAACAGGAUUAGAUACCCUGGUAGUCCACGCUGUAAACGAUGUGUGCUGGAUGUUGGGUGACUUAGUCACGCAGUGUCGUAGCUAACGCGAUAAGCACACCGCCUGGGGAGUACGGCCGCAAGGUUGAA
rnacentral:rRNA from 1 species